rnacentral:rRNA from 1 species
UAGGGAAUCUUCCACAAUGGACGAAAGUCUGAUGGAGCAACGCCGCGUGAGUGAUGAAGGUUUUCGGAUCGUAAAACUCUGUUGUAAGGGAAGAACAAGUACGUUAGGAAAUGAACGUACUUUGACGGUACCUUAUUAGAAAGCCACGGCUAACUACGUGCCAGCAGCCGCGGUAAUACGUAGGUGGCAAGCGUUGUCCGGAUUUAUUGGGCGUAAAGCGCGCGCAGGCGGUUUCUUAAGUCUGAUGUGAAAGCCCACGGCUUAACCGUGGAGGGUCAUUGGAAACUGGGAGACUUGAGUACAGAAGAGGAAAGUGGAAUUCCAAGUGUAGCGGUGAAAUGCGUAGAGAUUUGGAGGAACACCAGUGGCGAAGGCGACUUUCUGGUCUGCAACUGACGCUGAGGCGCGAAAGCAUGGGGAGCAAAC